rnacentral:rRNA from 1 species
GACGAACGCUGGCGGCGUGCCUAAUACAUGCAAGUCGAGCGGAAGUUGAAGAGCUUGCUCUUCAACUUUAGCGGCGGACGGGUGAGUAACACGUGGGCAACCUGCCCUGCAGAUCGGGAUAACUCCGGGAAACCGGUGCUAAUACCGAAUAGUUUUGGGUCCCUCCUGGGACCUAACGGAAAGACGGUUUCGGCUGUCACUGCAGGAUGGGCCCGCGGCGCAGUAGCUAGUUGGUGGGGUAACGGCCCACCAAGGCGACGAUGCGUAGCCGACCUGGGAGGGUGAUCAGCCACACUGGGACUGAGACACGGCCCAGACUCCUACGGGAGGCAGCAGUAGGGAAUCUUCCGCAAUGGACGCAAGUCUGACGGAGCAACGCCGCGUGAGUGAUGAAGGUUUUCGGAUCGUAAAACUCUGUUGCGAGGGAAGAAACCGUGCCAAUUAACUACUGGCACCUUGACGGUACCUCGCCAGAAAGCCACGGCUAACUACGUGACAGCAGCCGCAGUAA